rnacentral:rRNA from 1 species
AUGCCUUCGGUGAUCAGUAGCAACACACGAGAUCCUGGAACCUGCAUUAGUUAUUGUUUGCACAAUAAUUACUUAUUGAUAUCAUUACCAAGCUAUCCGAGCCAUCAUUCCCCGGACACCACUUGGUUUCCUUGCCCAUUUAUUCAUCGGAUAUGUACACAAUCGACAGGAUUGACUUCAGAUCUUACAUAA